ensembl:lncRNA
AGAAGUUGUAUUUGUUAUUGGAGCAGAGAUUGGAGGCGUGUCAAAAAUCACCGAGGCGUGUGAUUGGUGGAGUCUUGGAGCUUUAUUAUAUGAGCUUCUUACUGGUACGCCCCUGUGGCAGUGUCACCCUACAGGCGUUCACCCUCACACUCCGCUCCGUAUCCCAGAGUUCCUCAGCACUGCAGCCACCUCGCUUCUCACUGAGGUACCUGCUCUCUCAAUGCAGACUCAUAGACCGUAUGCUCAGUGUUUGCAAGGCAGGACUGUGCUGCUGGGUUUUGUAAACUUUAUAGGAACCACUGAAAUUCUUUCUGCAGGGAAUGCUUUAUUUCUACUUUAAAGGGGUCAUAUGAUGUUGCUAAUAAGAACAUUAUUUUGUAUUUGGUGUAAUGAAAUGUGUUUAUGCGGUUUAAGGUUCAAAAAACACAUUAUUUUCCACAUACUGUACAUUAUUGUUUCUCCUCUAUGCCCCGCCUUCUGAAACGCGUCUUAACCACUGUUUUCUAGUUGUGUCCUCUUUUGGAAGACCAAACAAAGUGGUUUUGCUUUCACAACAGAGAGAAUCAAAGUUAUGCCUUCUUUCUUUGCGUGAACAUCUGGGCAGUGUUAUGCAAAUCUUCCCACAUAGUAACGUAGAGAUGUGGGGGUGUGUUAGAACGAGCCGUCUUGGGGGGUGUGGAUGAGUCUUAGCUUUUAUAAAGAAUAACUCUUUGGGUUUGAGACUUUAGUCUUUGCAACUUUACAGAUCUUCUUUAUGCACCAAGAGCUUGUAACACUCCAAAGAGAAAGGAAAAAUUUAAAUCACAUCAUAUGACCCCUUUAAUACACCUCUAUAUGUUCUUCAGAAACAAAGAAAGUACACAGAGCAUGAUUAUGAAAUAACGUCAAACACUAAUAUGUAGCAGGAUCUUGCAGGUCCUGCAGUCUCCACCAAUGAGCUGAUGAGCUGAAUCAGGUGUGAUAGAAGAGGGAGACAUACAAAAUGUGCAGAGCAGGGGGUACUCCAGGACAGGUUUGAGAAUCACUGUAAUAGAGGAUAAACAGACUUCUUUCUUGAGUUCAACUUGACAAUAAACACUUUAAACAGUUUCUUUAGCUUGACA